GCGGACGGCUCAGUAACACGUAGUCAACCUAACUCGUGGACGUGGAUAACCUCGGGAAACUGAGAAUAAACCACGAUAGAUCAUAGUGCCUGGAAUGGCUUAUGGUCCAAACAGUUUACUGCCAUGGGAUGGGACUGCGGCCUAUCAGCUUGUUGGUGAGGUAAUGGCCCACCAAGGCGAUUACAGGUACGGGCUCUGAGAGGAGAAGCCCGGAGAUGGGUACUGAGACACGGACCCAGGCCCUAUGGGGCGCAGCAGGCGAGAAACCUUAGCAAUGUGCGAAAGCACGACUGGGUCAGUCCGAGUGAUUCCUGAUAAAGGAGUCUUUUGCUUGUCCUAAAAGCACAGGUGAAUAAGGGGUGGGCAAGUCUGGUGUCAGCCGCCGCGGUAAUACCAGCACCUCGAGUGGUCAGGACGUUUAUUGGGCCUAAAGCAUCCGUAGCCGGCUUUGCAAGUCUUCGGUUAAAUCCACCUGCUCAACAGAUGGGCCGCUGGAGAUACUACAGAGCUAGGGAGUGGGAGAGGCAGACGGUAUUCAGUGGGUAGGGGUAAAAUCCUCUGAUCCAUUGAGGACCACCAGUGGCGAAGGCGGUCUGCCAGAACACGUUCGACGGUGAGGGAUGAAAGCUGGGGGAGCAAACCGGAUUAGAUACCCGGGUAGUCCCAGCUGUAAACGAUGCAGACUCGGUGAUGCACUGGCUUGUGGCCA
rnacentral:rRNA from 1 species